GUGGGAGAGCCGCGGUUUGGGCAAGUAGUCCGGCGCGGUUUGGGCAAGUAGUCCGGCACGGCCGCGGAACUCCCGAGGUUCGUAAACGUGUUCUGCUUCAGAGGUGAAGAGCGAAAGUGAAUAGAGGGUUUCUGGAGACUUAAGCUAAGCUCAUCGUAACAAGGAAAGGAGGACGUGGGGCUGUCAGUGGGGCAAGGGUGCACUUUAGAUCCCAGAUGACAGACCUGUAAAGGCCGAGCAGACCUUUGACUGACAAGAUGGGGUGCUCAGUGAGACCAUCACAGCCUGCAACUAGGACUUUAUCUUGAACUCAGGUAGUGUUCCUGUGGUAGCUAGAGCUUUUGGUUAAAUUUUUUUAAAUCUCUUUUUAAGUGCCAAGAUUUCCAAAUUGUUUCUGCUUUUUUUUUUUUUUUAAAAAAAGGGUUAGUGAGGAUGAAAAGUUGAUUCACUUGGUCUAGUGUGGUAGGAAUAGGUGAAAUACCAAAAUUGGUAUUAUGCCAAGGGCUUAUGCCCUCCUUGCCAUCAAAGACCCACUCAUUUGAGGAUGGAGAUUUCCUCGGGGCCACAGACAUUUCCAACAACCUUGUACCUAGUUAAUUGAGAAAAUCCAAGCCCUCAUGUGAUGUAUCACAGCUUCCUGUCCACCCCACAUUUAUCUGCCUCUCUCUUAUUGGUCUUAGAAAACGAAUAGCACCCACUCCACCCGUACUAUUGACCAGUGCCUCUCUCUAGACCGUCUCUUACCUUUCACACCAUUGGUCAGACCCUUCUUGAAACCUGAAUCCCUUUACUUCUCUCCUGUUCUACUUAUCUCAUGCUUCUUAGGGGCGCUUUCUCUGCCUGUCCUUUAAAUAGUAUAAGUUUAAACCUUGAUUUUUUUUCUCCUCUUUUUUUUUUUUUUGAGGAAUAUUCCCUUUCAGAGUACCAUCCAUGCUCAUUGUUUUAAGCUAUUUGCUUAAGGAUCCUAAAACUGCUGCUAUACCUGACUUCUUCCUUGAGACUCAGACUUUUAUUUGCCUACUACAUAGAUCCAUUUGGGAGGGCUCAUGAGCCAUUCAGAUUCUAAUUUAUCCCUUCCUUUUAUUUCAGCUACCAAUCUAUCUCACUGUUGCCUCCAGCCUUAACAACCCUCACCUACAUCCCCCAAUUUGUCUUUUCAGUAGCAGCCAGAAUGAUCAGUCUUAAAUGUAAAUCUGACCAUUUUACUGGUCUGUUUAAAUGUCUACAACCCUCCCCCGCCCCCUGCCACCUCCACCAUCACCUACAAGAUAAAGUCUACCUCCAUAGCCUGUAUCCUAGGACCUCCAUAAUCUCACCACUGUUUAUGUUUCCACUAUCAUCUUCCAUCACACACACUUCCCCUUCAUGAUGCUGUUUUACACUUAUAGAACUUUUCAUAUUCUUAUUGAUACUGUCUGGAUGUCUUGAUUUUCUUUGCCUAACUCCUACUUUCUUUACUUAUUUUUCAGAUAUCUUCUAGAAAGCCUUUCCCUAAUCCACAGACUGAACUAGUUGACUUUCCUUCUGACUUUCUGAGUGUUGAUUGAUUUAUCCAGAAAAUACUUAGCCUCUUAUUUUAUGCCAGACACUGAGCUAGAUAUGGAAAUAUAAUAAUGAGCAAGUAAAUGUAAAAAUCAAUCUAAUAAUUGACCUGACAAAGCUUAUGUUCUCAUAGGGAAGGGAAACAUGAAUUAAAAAAAAAAAUGUAGUUCAGUCUGAAUGGUUCCAUGCUUGUGAACAGAUAGGAAUUAGCCAGAUUAAACGCUGGAGGGCAAGUUAGAGACAACUGUAAAGGCCCAGACAGGAGAGGAGAGCAUAGUCCAGGAACAGAGAUUCUAGAUGCAGGGCUGGGGAAGCAAAUAGGCUUAGAUUAUGAAGAGUGUUGCUGAUCAUAUUAAGGCAUUUGACCUUCUUCCUAAAGAUAAUAGUAAGUUUGAAGGGUUUCAACAUGAUUAGGUUUGUAUUUUAGGUGAUGACUCUGACUACUGUGAGAAAAUGGAAUUGAGAAGUGGCAAGACUAAUGGAAGGAAAACCAGUUAGGCCAUCAUUGUAGUAAUCCAAGGAAAAGAAGAUGGCGGCCUGUACUAGGGCAUUGCCAGUGUGGAUGGAACUAUAAAUCCCGGAGGGAUUCAGGAAGUAGAACUGGGAAGAUUUGACAACUGGAUUGGAAGGACAGAGCUUAUUCUUCAAUUGGAGGAAGAUUGCUUUACAGUGUUGUGUUUCUACUAUCCAACAACUUGAAUCAGCCGUAAUUACAUACAUAUCACCUCCCUGGGCCUCCCUCCACCCCACUCCACCGCCACCCCCAUCCUGCCCCUUCAGGUGGUCUCAGAGCACCUGGCUGGGCUACAAGGGCUGGUUCUAAAUGACUUGAUUCCCUAGCACCUUACACCGUGUCUGGCACAAACAGGGCACCUGGUCGUUGUUGAACUGAACUACUCCUUUUUAAACAUGGUACAUCUAACAGGAGAAAUUAAUAGUAGUAGUCCCUGAGGAGGGAGACUGGGGCUCAGAGUGAAAAGAUUUUAUUGUAUAUAUUUUGGUUCUUCAUGCCUUUUCCCUCAUUUGCUUAUAUUUCCUAUGAAAAAUAAAGAUGAUGAGAAAGAAAUGCUCAAUUUGUAUGAACUUUAAACUGAAAACAGUACUCUACCUAUGAUCUGAUACAGAGUAGAAUAUUAAUGCUAUAUGAAGUCAUACUGUUCAUAGCAUUUUUUGACCACAUCACAUUAUCAACUUAUUUACAAAUUUGAUGAUUGUAUCAUUGUUGCUAUUGUUCAGUUCACUUAGAUAAUAAUAUUUAUGUCUUUAAAAAGUGAAAUUAUCAGCACAUACUUUAUAUUAAGGACAUCAGAAAAUCUUUGAAACUAUGUAUUGUGAGGUAUAGUUAAAACUUACUAAGCCAAAGGAGUUUGGUACUUUUAUAUCUGCCUAACAAUUCAUAUGAGAGAAAACAGUGGGCCUCUUUGACCUGUCAGCUAACAUUUAUUGUUUGCUAACAUUACAAGUAGUGUCCAACAUGCAAAACCUUUUCGUUACAAGUGUUGGAAUGUUCCUUUUACAUCUUCAGUUC